GAUUGUUGUCUCGCGUGUCAUAGAGCAGGCUGUAGAAAAAACUGAGGAGAGAGCACUCAUCUUGGCUCCUUAGCUAGUUGGUAAUAUUCGUAGGCUGAGGAGCUAAAGGAGAAAUUCGCCCGAGGGGCUCAUACUAAAUUAGCUAGUUGGUAAUAUUCGUAGGCUGAGGAGCUAAAGGAGAAAUUCGCCCGAGGGGCUCACACUAAAUUAGCUAGGUUGUGAGACAAUAGCUUACCAAGGCGAUGAUCAAUAGCUGAUGCGGAGGAUGAUCAGCCACACUGAGACUGAUGCACGACCCAAACUCCUAUGGGAGGCACCAGUGGUGAAUUUUCUGAAACCGUCGAAAGCCUGACGGAGCAACGCCGCCGGGAGGUGGAAGGCCUACGGGUCAUCAACUUUUUUUUCUCGGAGAAGUAACAAUGACGGACACCUGGUAGUUGAUGGCAUGUCGUACGUUGAAAGAGUAGCACGAAAAAGUCUAGAAUAAAUC
rnacentral:ncRNA from 1 species